rnacentral:rRNA from 1 species
ACACAUACAAAAAUCUUUUAACUAAUAAACUAAUAAAAACAAUUAAAUAAUAAAUUAAACAAUAGUACAGAAAUGGAAAUAAUAAUAAAUAAAAGUAACUAUUAACAAUUGUACCUUGUGCAUUAUGGUUUUACAAGAAAACAAUUAAAUACAUAAAUCCCGAAUUCUAUAUGAGAUGCCAAACUGCUGUUAAGAACCCACUAUUAGCUGUAAAAAAAGCUUUAAAAGACAGUUUGACAGAGGCUACAUACCAUUCGCAUAAGAAUAUAGCUGGUUUUCAACAAACAUUAUACAUUAAGACAUAUAAUUAUAUUAUAGUGUAAUAUUAUUGAGGAUAAGCCCAAUAACUAAAGCAAUACACAAACUAAUCCAACGCACUAUAUAGGCCUAAAAACAGCCAAACAAAAUACUUUACCGUAAAAUACACAGAUAUAAUAUAUAUUAUAAAUAUGCUAAACAAAGUUGAAAUAAUGAAUAAACUAAAUACUUCAAUUAUAAUAUGUAAAAAUAAGUAUUAAAUAAUACAUAAAAAUUAUAACCUAGAAUAAACAACAUAUAAACAAUAAUAAUUAAUUAAGGAACUCGGCAAACAAUUAUUUCGACUGUUUAACAAAAACAUUGUCUCAUGAAUAAAAUAUGAGAUAAUACCUGCCCAGUGACACACGUUCAACGGCCGCGGUAUCCUAACCGUGCAAAGGUAGCAUAAUCACUUGCCUAUUAAUUGUAGGCUAGAAUGAAGGGGUUAACGAAAUAAAAGCUGUCUCAGUUAAUUACAUAAAAAUUAUUUUCUAUUUGAAGAAAAAUAGAUAAUCUCGAAGGACAAGAAGACCCUAUAGAGCUUAAUUUUAAAUAUAGAAUAUGCUAUAAGAAAAUUCGGUUGGGGCGACCCAGGGCUAAAAUAUCACCCACUAACAUAAAGAUAAAUUAAUCAAAUAAAUGACCCUUUAAAGAUCAUAAGAACAAGCUACCUUAGGGAUAACAGGCUAAUCCCGCUUAAGAGUCCUUAUCAACAGCGGGGUUUGGCACCUCGAUGUUGGCUUAGGGUAUCUAUAUAGCGCAAAAGUUAUAUAAAGAUGGUUUGUUCAACCAAUAAUUCCCUACAUGAGCUGAGUUCAGACCGGCGUAAGCCAGGUUAGCUUCUAUCCACGACCAAAUAUAACUGCUCCUAGUACGAAAGGGCCUGAGUAGAAUAAUUACUUAUAUAAAGGAAUACAUAUAACAAAUCAUAAAUAACAAUAAAUAAAAACUAUAGC